rnacentral:rRNA from 1 species
GCCUGAGAGGGCGACCGGCCACACUGGGACUGAGACACGGCCCAGGACUCCUACGGGAGGCAGCAGUGGGGAAUAUUGCACAAUGGGCGGAAGCCUGAUGCAGCGACGCCGCGUGAGGGAUGACGGCCUUCGGGUUGUAAACCUCUUUCAGCAGGGACGAAGCGUAAGUGACGGUACCUGCAGAAGAAGCGCCGGCCAACUACGUGCCAGCAGCCGCGGUAAGACGUAGGGCGCGAGCGUUGUCCGGAUUUAUUGGGCGUAAAGAGCUCGUAGGCGGCUUGUCGCGUCGACUGUGAAAACCCGCAGCUCAACUGCGGGCCUGCAGUCGAUACGGGCAGGCUAGAGUUCGGUAGGGGAGACUGGAAUUCCUGGUGUAGCGGUGAAAUGCGCAGAUAUCAGGAGGAACACCGGUGGCGAAGGCGGGUCUCUGGGCCGAUACUGACGCUGAGGAGCGAAAGCGUGGGGAGCGAACAGGAUUAGAUACCCUGGUAGUCCACGNCUGUAAACGUUGGGCGCUAGGUGUCGGGGGCCU